rnacentral:rRNA from 1 species
UACGUAGGUGGCAAGCGUUGUCCGGAUUUACUGGGCGUAAAGAGCGCGCAGGCGGUCGUGCAAGUCGGGUGUGAAAGCCCCCGGCUCAACUGGGGAGGGUCACGCGAUACUGCUCGACUCGAAGGCAGGAGAGGGAAGUGGAAUUCCCGGUGUAGUGGUGAAAUGCGUAGAUAUCGGGAGGAACACCAGUGGCGAAGGCGACUUCCUGGCCUGUUCUUGACGCUGAGGCGCGAAAGCUAGGGUAGCAAACGGG